AUGAACGCUAGCGGCAGGCUUAACACAUGCAAGUCGAGGGGUAACAGGUUAGUAGCAAUACUGAUGCUGACGACCGGCGCACGGGUGCGUAACGCGUAUGCAACCUACCUUAUACAGGGGGAUAACCUUUCGAAAGGGAGACUAACACCGCAUAACAUUGUUUUCAGGCAUCUGGGAAUAAUUAAAUGAGCGAUCAGGUAUAAGAUGGGCAUGCGUAGCAUUAGUUAGAUGGCGAGGUAACGGCUCACCAUGGCGAUGAUGCUUAGGGGUUCUGAGAGGAAGGUCCCCCACACCGGUACUGAGAUACGGACCGGACUCCUACGGGAGGCAGCAGUGAGGAAUAUUGGUCAAUGGUCGGAAGACUGAACCAGCCAUGCCGCGUGCAGGAAGGAGGUCCUAUGGAUUGUAAACUGCUUUUUUCGGGGAAUAAUAAGACUUUUGCGAAGGUUGAUGCAGGUACCCGAAGAAUAAGGAUCGGCUAACUCCGUGCCAGCAGCCGCGGUAAUACGGAGGAUUCGAGCGUUAUCCGGAUUUAUUGGGUUUAAAGGGCGCGUAGGCGGGACGUCAAGUCAGCGGUAAAAGACUGCAGCUAAACUGUAGCACGCCGUUGAAACUGGCGCCCUGGAGACGAGACGAGGGAGGCGGAACAAGUGAAGUAGCGGUGAAAUGCAUAGAUAUCACUUGGAACCCCGAUAGCGAAGGCAGCUUCCCAGGCUCGUUCUGACGCUGAUGCGCGAGAGCGUGGGUAGCGAACAGGAUUA
rnacentral:rRNA from 1 species